rnacentral:tRNA from 1 species
GGCUGUAUAGUGUAGUGGUUUAGCACACGGGAUUUUGACUUCACGUACCCGGAUCCGAGCCGGGUAUUUAUCCUCAUUCCCGGGACCCCGGUUCGAACCCGGGUACGGCCU